ensembl:lncRNA
CUUUAGUCCUCAUAACUCUCUGAGGUGGAUGGAGGAACUACUCAGCCCCACGAACAAUCCUGUGUUUGCUUCUGACUCCAUCAUGCAUCCUUGGAGAGAUGAUUCCAACAAGAGGCCUCCAAUUUCUGGCGCUUCUAGCAGUACCAGCCACAUCACCACUGCUUUUAUGCUUGCUUCCAUACAUCCUGGACCUGAGACAAAGACCCUGUGCUACUGUACUCUACACGAAAAGGGUACAUGGAGAUUGAGGAGAACCAGUAUCACAACCAAGCUGGGGGACUCAAUGAAGAGUUGCUCCUUCAGCAAAUGAGCUUCACUAAAGGAAACCAACCCUGAAUAUUCAUUGGAAGGACUGACGCUGAAACUGAAGCUCCAGUAUUUUGGCCAUCUGAUGGAAAAAGCCAACUCACUGGAAAAGACCCUGAUGUUGGGAAAGAUUGAAGGCAGGAGGAGAAGGGGACAACAGAGGAUGAGCUGGUUGAAUGACAUCACCGAUUCAAUGGACAUGAGUUUGAGCGAACUCCAGGAGAUGGUGAAGGACAGGGAAGCCUGGUGUGUUGCAGUCCAUGGGGUUUCAGAGUCGGACACGGC